rnacentral:rRNA from 1 species
CGUAGGUGGCGAGCGUUGUCCGGAUUUACUGGGCGUAAAGGAUGCGUAGGUGGAAAUUUAAGUGGGAUGUGAAAUCCCCGGGCUCAACCCGGGAACUGCAUUCCAAACUGGAUUUCUAGAGUGCAGGAGAGGAAAGCGGAAUUCCUAGUGUAGCGGUGAAAUGCGUAGAUAUUAGGAAGAACACCAGUGGCGAAGGCGGCUUUCUGGACUGUAACUGACACUGAGGCAUGAAAGCGUGGGGAGCAAACAGGAUU